GAUGAACGCUGGCGGUAUGCUUAACACAUGCAAGUCGAACGAAAGUUUUUAACUUUAGUGGCGAACGGGUGCGUAAUACGUGAGAAUCUGCCCUUAGGAAAAGAAUAACUACUGGAAACGGUUGCUAAAUCUUUAUAUACCGAGAGGUGAAAUAGUUUCGGCUGCCUAAGGAUGAGCUCGCGCCUGAUUAGCUAGUUGGUAAGGUAAUGGCUUACCAAGGCCACGAUCAGUAGCUGGUUUGAGAGAACGAUCAGCCACAUUGGGACUGAGACACGGCCCAAACUCCUCCGGGAGGCAGCAGUGAGGAAUUUUCCGCAAUGGGCGAAAGCCUGACGGAGCAAUACCGCGUGAGGGAUGAAGGAUUUUGGUCUGUAAACCUCUUUUCUCAAGAAAGAAGAUCUGACGGUACUUGAGGAAUAAGCAUCGGCUAACUCCGUGCCAGCAGCCGCGGUAAUACGGGGGAUGCAAGCGUUAUCCGGAAUCAUUGGGCGUAAAGCGCCUGUAGGUUGUUUAAUAAGUCUGUUGUUAAAGACUAGGGCUUAACCCUAGAAAAGCAAUGGAAACUACUAGACUUGAGUAUGGCAGGGGUAGAGGGAAUUUCUAGUGUAGCGGUGAAAUGCGUAGAUAUUAGAAAGAACACCGGUGGCGAAAGCGCUCUACUGGACCAUUACUGACACUCAGAGGCGAAAGCUAGGGUAGCAAAAGGGAUUAGAUACCCCUGUAGUCCUAGCCGUAAACGAUGGAUACUAGAUGUUGUGUGUUUUUCACAGUAUCGUAGCUAACGCGUUAAGUAUCCCGCCUGGGGAGUACGCUCGCAAGGGUGAAACUCAAAGGAAUUGACGGGGGCCCGCACAAGCGGUGGAGCAUGUGGUUUAAUUCGAUGCAACGCGAAGAACCUUACCAGGGCUUGACAUACUACGAAUCUUUUUGAAAGAAAAGAGUGCCUUCGGGAAUGUAGAUACAGGUGGUGCAUGGCUGUCGUCAGCUCGUGUCGUGAGAUGUUGGGUUAAGUCCCGCAACGAGCGCAACCCUUGUUUUUAGUUACCAUUAUUGGGAUCUCUAGAAAGACUGCCGGUGACAAACCGGAGGAAGGUGAGGAUGACGUCAAGUCAGCAUGCCCCUUAUGUCCUGGGCUACACACGUGCUACAAUGGUUAAGACAAAGGGUUGCAAAUCCGCAAGGAUAAGCUAAUCCCAUAAACUUAAUCUAAGUUCAGAUUGUAGGCUGCAACUCGCCUACAUGAAGUUGGAAUCGCUAGUAAUCGCUGGUCAGCCAUACAGCGGUGAAUCCGUUCCCGGGCCU
rnacentral:rRNA from 1 species